AUGGCCUCCCGCGUCUCCCUCUCGGCGUCUUCUUCCUCGGGUGACUCCACACCGGCGCGCCCCCGUCCCCAGUUGCGCUCCACCGUCGUUGUGCCGGACGUCCUCGGCACCGCCUUCGGGCCAAUCGUGCAUGGCGGGUCGUCCGGAUCCGGUGGCCCGCUGCGUUGCCGGCCCGAGGUUCUCCGUCCUGUUCCGGCACGCGAUGUGCGCCUUCCUGCUGUGGAGAUUGUGGAUGAUGAUGGGGUGGAGUGUUGCUUCUUGGAGGAAGGCGAGGACUUGUGGCAGAUGGAGGUUGAGCUGUCGAGGGCAGUGCUCGUCACCGUCACUGGCAGCAGGCCUACCAUGGAUUUGGCCUCCGCCGCGACGGCGCUGCACGUGGAGUUCGGCAUCGGGCCUGAGGACAUGUCCGUCCGGGCCUUCCAGCCGGAGGAUUUCUUGGUCUUGUGCCAGAGACAGUCUACGCGCGACAGGAUGGUUCGGCAGGGCGGACUCUCUCCCUCGUCGCCGGCCGGCUUCUCGCUGUCCCUGCGGCUGUGGAUUCGGCAGGCACAGGCCACGGCUGCCUCCCUGUCCUACCUGGUGCCUCUCAAGCUCGUCGGCGUGCCGGCGCACGCGUGGACUAGGAGAACUGUGGAUUCGGUGCUGUGUGGUCUGGGUCUGGUUGUUGGCAUCGCGAGAGCACGGCGAGACGGCACGACAUGUCCGGGUUCAAGCGGCCAGGAUCAGCCUGGCACCUGCCAAAGUGCCCUAGGCGUGGCUUUGACCGUGGACGUGGAGGGAAGGCCUGUGGACCAGGACUUCCAGCUGGGAAGGGUGGAUGCCAUGGAGAGCGUGCCAGAUUCUUCCAGACCGGGCCAACCCGUGUCGUCCUGCGUGUCGGGACAGGGUAGCGACCAUGCAGAGGGGAUGGGGAGAACAUGUGUUUAUGUUCAUCAUGUGGAUAAAGAGGCCUUUUUGAAAGGCAAUGUUGAGACGGACCCGGAUGAGCUUGACAUGGUGUUUGAGAGUAGUCCUAGCUAUGCGAAGCUUUUGAAACAAGUGAGGAAAGAUUUGAAUUGGAUGGACCCAAGUGACGUUGUUGAGUUCGAGGGAAGGCAUAAUGUUGGUUUAGGAAUGCACAUCCGUUGGAAGACAAUGCGUGUGAACUCCGAGCAAUGUUGGGUUGCAUACAAGGAGACGGUUGCUGAAUCUCUAGACAAAACUCUUGAGUUAUUUGCCUCCAAGAAGGUUGAGUCUACUUUGAAUUUAGACUUGAACCGGAACCCCUCCCCGUUGGUUGCUAGCACUCCCCCACCCAUGAACCAAGAUCAAAUGAGUGAACCUCAAUUCACGCAAGAAGAUUGGCCAACAUUGAGCCCGACUCCAAACAACCAAAAUGAAGGUUUUGAAGGGGAGAAUGAUGAGUACGAGGAGGAUGACAACGAAGUUGACCUCCAUGACAACAAUGUGGGUGAUCUCGACCAAUAUCAUGUGCAAGAGACAAUGGACCAAUCCAUCCCUUUUUCCCGUGCAUAUGCAUCAGACUCGGAUGACGAUGGUCCUGAUGAAGAAGUUGAUGAGGAGGGGUUCACACCAAAGGAGGCCGAAGCAUUCAAGAAGGUAUUCGGGCAGGAUCACAAGACACCAUUGUUCAAGGAUCUUAGUCUCGCGGAUGAAGCCGUUGUGGAUGGUGGAAAAUGCAUAUCUCUUGGAGCUAGGCCAAGUUCUCACCGUGAUUUGGAAGACGGCAAGAACGGGAUAUAUCCCGGUUGUGAAUUUCAAUCCUUCUUGGAAUUGAAGAUGUGGCUCGACAACUACUCGGUUACACAUUAUCGUCCACAUAAAGUGGCCAACUCGGACGUGAAUGUGCGUUACACGGUCAAAUGUGAAGUGCCAACAUGUCCAAACUGA
rnacentral:rRNA from 1 species